rnacentral:ncRNA from 2 species
CAACAAAAACGAUUUGCUUUUCGUAUAAUCCCGAGAAUCGGCUUGGGAGUCUCUACGAGGUCACCGUAAUGACCUGGCUACGAGAAGAUCAUUGGACUUG